rnacentral:rRNA from 1 species
GUGCCAGCCGCCGCGGUAAUUCCAGCUCCAAUAGCGUAUAUUAAAGUUGUUGUGGUUAAAAAGCUCGUAGUUGAACCUUGGGCCUGGCUGGCCGGUCCGCCUCACCGCGUGCACUGGUCCGGCCGGGCCUUUCCCUCUGUGGAACCCCAUACCCUUCACUGGGCGUGGCGGGGAAACAGGACAUUUACUUUGAAAAAAUUAGAGUGCUCCAGGCAGGCCUAUGCUCGAAUACAUUAGCAUGGAAUAAUAAAAUAGGACGCGCGGUUCUAUUUUGUUGGUUUAUAGGACCGCCGUAAUGAUUAAUAGGGACAGUCGGGGGCAUCAGUAUUCAACUGUCAGAGGUGAAAUUCUUGGAUCAGUUGAAGACUAACUACUGCGAAAGCAUUUGCCAAGGAUGUUUUCAUUAAUCAGGAACGAAAGUUAGGGGAUCGAAGACGAUCAGAUACCGUCGUAGUCUUAACCAUAAACUAUGCCGACUAGGGAUCGGACGGUGUUAUUCAUGACCCGUUCGGCACCUUACGAGAAAUCAAAGUGCUUGGGCUCCAGGGGGAGUAUGGUCGCAAGGCUGAAACUUAAAGAAAUUGACGGAAGGGCACCACCAGGGGUGGAGCCUGCGGCUUAAUUUGACUCAACACGGGGAAACUCACCAGGUCCAGACACAAUAAGGAUUGACAGAUUGAGAGCUCUUUCUUGAUUUUGUGGGUGGUGGUGCAUGGCCGUUCUUAGUUGGUGGGGUGACUUGUCUGCUUAAUUGCGAUAACGAACGAGACCUUAACCUGCUAAAUAGCCCGCAUUGCUCCGGCAGUGCGCUGGCUUCUUAGAGGGACUUUCG